GCCGCCGCACCACCUGGCUGGCUCCCUGCGCUCGGCCCGCGCUUUUUCUUGGGCGCCAUGGGUUGGUGCCUGGACCACCAGGACUUGUCCUGCACACCCAUGAAGCGACUGACCCAGCUGGUCUGAAGCACCCCACGAGGAGCCCCACUGCACCCGCGCAUCUGCCACUGGAGGGUCUCGGUUGCUCUUGGCCUUUAAAUCCCUGGUGAGAUGGAGAAACCGAGGUAAGGUACCUCAGAACCCAGGCCAGAUCCACACAAGGCUCUCGGUCAGUCCCAGAUGGAAGCUCCAGUCCCAGGCCGUGACAUGCAUCAGCUCCCACACCCAAGAUUGUCCCAGAGAAAGCGCUCUGCCCUCCCCAUCCACAGCACCACGAGGGCCAUAGCUGCACUGCCGCACCUCUCCAGCUCCAGAGACAUCCCUGAGAGGCAGCCAUCAGGAGUGCCCAGCUGAGGACACGCCUCCUUGGGGACCCUCAUUCCUGAGUCCAUGCCUCCAGAUUCACGAUCUCAGAGACAACCACAUCCGCAACUGGCAUGUGUCCCCACCGAAGGGGCUCAAGUAAGUGACUGGAGUGACCAGGGUGGAUGGGCCUGGAGUACCUGGGUCUAUAGCCCACACCCGGAGCAGGAGAGAGGGGAGAGCUGGGGUACCUGGGUCUGUAGCCCACACCCAGAGCAGGAGAGAGGGGAGACCUGGAGUACCUGUACCUGUACCUCAGCUACAGUAUCUGAGUCUGUAAGCCCAUAUCUGAAGCAGGAGAGAGGAGAGGGCCAUUUUGGAGUCCACCAGGUAGCCCCAGUAGGACAGGGAGAGGCUGUGUAUGAGAUGGGAUGGGUGGUGGGCCAUGGCUGUGACACUGGAGGGGACAGGGCGGGGAUACCUUCUCAGACUAUGACACUCAGAGGCAAGGUAGGAUCUCGGCCCACACAACAGCACACGGAUGGUGCCCUUAUGGGAGAGGGCGGGGGCCAUGCAUGGGGCCUGUGACAGCUUGGGAGGUGGGGGCCAGGGGAGUUUGGUUUCCUGGGUUACGGAAUGCUGGGUGUGUGUGAAGUAGGAGGCACCAGCCACACUGUUUCACCAGGGGCUGUGAUCUGGGCCCCACCCUUGUGACUCUGGGGCUUCUGGAUGAUGACCUCUCCCCAGACCCCACCCAUGAUUUCCCCGUGGAUUGGUUAAAAAUUCAAUGCAAGGUCCAGGUCAAUAAUGCACCCAAAAUAAAGCUGAAAGUUACAA
rnacentral:sRNA from 1 species